rnacentral:rRNA from 1 species
GACGAACGCUGGCGGCGUGCUUAACACAUGCAAGUCGAACGAAGUGGCGAACGGGUGAGUAACGCGUAGGUAACUGCCUGGUAGCGGGGGAUAACUAUUGGAAACGAUAGCUAAUACCGCAUACUACCAGAUGGACCUGCGUUGUAUUAGCUAGUUGGUGGGGUAACGGCUCACCAAGGCAACGAUACAUAGCCGACCUGAGAGGGUGAUCGGCCACACUGGGACUGAGACACGGCCCAGACUCCUACGGGAGGCAGCAGUGGGGAAUAUUGCACAAGGGGCGCAAGCCUGAUGCAGCCAUGCCGCGUGUGUGAAGAAGGCCUUCGGGUUGUAAAGCACUUUCAGCGGGGAGCGUUACCCGCAGAAGAAGCACCGGCUAACUCCGUGCCAGCAGCCGCGGUAAUUC